GAUUGUGUGGGUGGUCUGACAGCAACAUCUGUCACCCAUUGGCCCCAGACAUGACACAGCUCAUUUGGCUGCCUAGUGUAGUGUUGCCUUCCUUCUUCACUGCUUCAUGCAUGGCUCUCCUAAAGCUGUGCCAAAUUAUUGGAGAUUUUAAAAACAAUUCCAAUAGCUUUGACAGAAGAACUGAAAACGAAGUAUGAAAGAAUCCAGCCAUAUUAGACCUCUAGGCAAUUUUUUAGGCUAAAGAGCUAGAAGAUUAUUCUAGAAAAUCCUAGAUAAUGAUAAACACAUUGUAAAAUGAACCACCUAUUGUUU
rnacentral:sRNA from 1 species